GGAGGAAAAGAACUAACAAGGAUUCCCCUAGUAACUGCGAGUGAAGCGGGAAAAGCUCAAAUUUAAAAUCUGGCAGUCUCUGGCUGUCCGAGUUGUAAUCUAGAGAAGUGCUGCCCGCGCUGGACCGUGUACAAGUCUCCUGGGAUGGAGCGUCAUAGAGGGUGAGAAUCCCGUCUCUGACACGGACUACCAGGGCUUUGUGGUACGCUCUCAAAGAGUCGAGUUGUUUGGGAAUGCAGCUCAAAAUGGGUGGUAAAUUCCAUCUAAAGCUAAAUAUUGGCGAGAGACCGAUAGCGAACAAGUACCGUGAGGGAAAGAUGAAAAGAACUUUGGAAAGAGAGUUAAACAGUACAUGAAAUUGCUGAAAGGGAAACGCUUGAAGUCAGUCGCGUUAGCUGGGGAUCAGCCUCGCUCUUUUGCGUGGUGUACUUCCUGGUUGACGGGUCAGCAUCAAUUUUGACCGCUGGAAAAAGGCUUGAGGAAUGUGGCAGCUCCGGCUGUGUUAUAGCUUCUUGUCACAUACAGUGGUUGGGAUUGAGGAACUCAGCACGCCGCAAGGCCGGGUUUCGACCACGUUCGUGCUUAGGAUGCUGGCAUAAUGGCUUUA
rnacentral:rRNA from 2 species